UACAGAGGAUCCAAGCGUUGUCCGGAUUGACUGGGCGUAAAGCGCGUGUAGGCGGCUUGGCAAGUCGGUUGUGAAAGCCCGGGGCCCAACCCCGGAAUUGCAUCUGAAACUGCCUCGCUAGAGUCCCGGAGAGGAAGGCAGAAUUCCCGGUGUAGGGGUGAAAUGCGCAGAUAUCGGGAAGAACACCCGUGGCGAAGGCGGUUCUCUGGGACGGUACUGACGCUGAGACGCGAAAGCGUGGGGAGCGAACAGG
rnacentral:rRNA from 1 species